AUUGAACGCUGGCGGCAUGCUUUACACAUGCAAGUCGAACGGGCUUAGGGGCUUGCUCCUAAGUUAGUGGCGAACGGGUGAGUAAUGCAUCGGAACGUACCGUGUAGUGGGGGAUAACCCGGCGAAAGUCGGAUUAAUACCGCAUACGAUCUAAGGAUGAAAGCAGGGGAUCGCAAGACCUUGCGCUAUACGAGCGGCCGAUGUCGGAUUAGCUAGUUGGUAGGGUAAAGGCCUACCAAGGCAACGAUCCGUAGCGGGUCUGAGAGGAUGACCCGCCACACUGGGACUGAGACACGGCCCAGACUCCUACGGGAGGCAGCAGUGGGGAAUUUUGGACAAUGGGCGAAAGCCUGAUCCAGCCAUGCCGCGUGAGUGAAGAAGGCCUUCGGGUUGUAAAGCUCUUUUGUCCGGGAGCAAAUCCUGUUCACUAAUACUGAGCGGGGCUGAGAGUACCGGAAGAAUAAGCACCGGCUAACUACGUGCCAGCCGCCGCGGUAA
rnacentral:rRNA from 1 species